GAUGGGUGGUACUACCGCUUGCUGUACUAAAGGCACCAGAGAGUCAAGUAAACUCAGUGAAAAGGAACAAGUGACUUCAAUGAGUCUUUGGAUCCAGCUUGCUUUUAUGUAAUAAAAUUGAAAGGUACAGUUGAUUUUCAGAAAGGUGAUUAACUCUAAUCAGGUAGAUAAGCAAUCCUAUUAAACCAACAAACUAUGGCAUGUCCCCGAGUGCACUAUGAAUCAACACGUAUAAGUAUAUAAUUUAAAAGUUCUUAAUUAUUACUUUUUAAAUAUCUGGUCUAUUUAGGAUCUAAAAUGUGUAUGGUGAUAAAUGACUAGCUAGUCAUGUGCCCAUAAAAUGCAUUAAUGUCCCUGAGAAUGAUAAAUCUUCUUUAAAUGAAUAGAGGCUGACAAUCAAGGAUCAUGUGUUCUCCAGACCUUCUGAUAAAUGUUCUUUCUAUUAUUUCCAAUAGACUUUGAUACAUUAAACUGCAUAAUUUAUUUCUGGUAAUUUAUCUUUGUUCUCUUGGGUAUCAGCUCCUCUCUUUCCAUAUUUUCUUCCAACAGAAACACCGGGUAGUUAUAUCAACAUCAGGAACAAUAAGAACAAUAAAAAUCAAAUGGAAGGUACCAGAUAUCACUGUUGCUCUCUCAACUCUGAUGCCAAAGCCCAAGGAAGUGGAAAUGGAAGACGAGCCCAUUUGUAGCGUGGGGAAUCUCUAGCUGGCUCCUCCUCAGGUGAGUGUCAGCAGGUCAGUCUCUCAGCCAAGAGGAGGGGAAAGAGGAGAAGCACAUCUGGUCUGCUCUG
ensembl:lncRNA